rnacentral:rRNA from 1 species
AACGAACGCUGGCGGCAUGCCUAACACAUGCAAGUCGAACGAGACCUUCGGGUCUAGUGGCGCACGGGUGCGUAACGCGUGGGAACCUGCCCUUAGGUUCGGAAUAACUCCCCGAAAGGGGUGCUAAUACCGGAUAAGGUCUUCGGACCAAAGAUUUAUCGCCGUUGGAUGGGCCCGCGUUGGAUUAGCUAGUUGGUAGGGUAAGAGCCUACCAAGGCGACGAUCCAUAGCUGGUUUGAGAGGAUGAUCAGCCACACUGGGACUGAGACACGGCCCAGACUCCUACGGGAGGCAGCAGUGGGGAAUGUUGGACAAUGGGGGAAAGCCUGAUCCAGCAAUGCCGCGUGAGUGAUGAAGGCCUUAGGGUUGUAAAGCUCUUUUACCCGGGAUGAUAAUGACGGUACCGGAAGAAUAAGCUCCGGCUAACUCCGUG